UACGUAGGUGGCAAGCGUUUGUCCGGAUUUACUGGGCGUAAAGAGCGCGCAGGCGGCUGGGCAAGUCCGAUGUGAAAGCUUCCGGCUUAACUGGAAAAUUGCAUCGGAAACUGCUCGGCUUGAAGGUGGGAGAGGGUAGCGGAAUUCCCGGUGUAGUGGUGAAAUGCGUAGAUAUCGGGAGGAACACCAGUGGCGAAGGCGGCUACCUGGCCCACUCUUGACGCUGAGGCGCGAAAGCUAGGGGAGCAAACGGG
rnacentral:rRNA from 1 species